rnacentral:rRNA from 1 species
UACAGAGGGUGCGAGCGUUAAUCGGAAUUACUGGGCGUAAAGAGCGUGUAGGCGGCUUUACAGGUCCGUUGUGAAAACUCGAGGCUCAACCUCGAGACGCCGGUGGAAACCGUAAGGCUAGAGUCCGGAAGAGGAGAGUGGAAUUCCUGGUGCAGCGGUGAAAUGCGCAGAUAUCAGGAGGAACACCCGUGGCGAAAGCGGCUCUCUGGGACGGUACUGACGCUGAGGCGCGAAAGCUAGGGUAGCAAACGGG